GACGAACGCUGGCGGCGUGCUUAACACAUGCAAGUCGAACGGAAAGGCCCUGCUUUUGUUGGGUGCUCGAGUGGCGAACGGGUGAGUAACACGUGAGUAACCUGCCCUUGUCUUUGGGAUAACUUCAGGAAACUGGGGCUAAUACCGGAUAGGAGCUCCUGCUGCAUGGUGGGGGUUGGAAAGUUUCGGCGGUGGGGGAUGGACUCGCGGCUUAUCAGCUUGUUGGUGGGGUAGUGGCUUACCAAGCCUUUGACGGGUAGCCGGCCUGAGAGGGUGACCGGCCACAUUGGGACUGAGAUACGGCCCAGACUCCUACGGGAGGCAGCAGUGGGGAAUAUUGCACAAUGGGCGGAAGCCUGAUGCAGCAACGCCGCGUGCGGGAUGACGGCCUUCGGGUUGUAAACCGCUUUCGACUGUGACGAAGAGUGAGUGACGGUAAUGGGUAAAGAAGCACCGGCUAACUACGUG
rnacentral:rRNA from 1 species